AUGCUCGAAAAAUAAGAAGAUUGCUAUUUCUGCCAUGCAACCAAACUCAAGUAUGAAAGUUCGGGAUUAUGCUGCAAAGGACAGAUAAGACUAGCCAAUCCAAAUACACCACCGGAACUCAUGAGACUUUGGAAAAGCAACGACUCUGAUGCAAGACAUUUUCGUCAAAAUAUAAGAUUCUUCAAUGGGCACUUCUCGUUUACUACACUAUACUGCGAGCUCGAUAGAGAUAUAACAGACAUGCAAACGGUCGGUAUUAACACCUUUCGAGCACAUGGUCAAAUAUAUCACAACAUACACUCAUUUGGUAAUAGUCACUCAAUUCCAAAGUAUCUGGAACUAUACUUCUACGACGAUGAUCCAAGUUUAGAGCAUCGAUACCGCCGCCGUGAGGAAAUGUUCGAGCAAGACAAGCAUGUGAUUGCAAUAAUAACAGACAUCCUACACGGUAACCCGUACUCUCGAGAGUUUAGGAGUUUGGGACAAGCCCAGAACCUUGAGGACUACAGACUGAUCUUGAACCUUGACCAGAGAUUGGACCAAAGAACAUAA
rnacentral:rRNA from 1 species